rnacentral:rRNA from 1 species
UGGGGAAUUUUGGACAAUGGGGGAAACCCUGAUCCAGCCAUCCCGCGUGUGCGAUGAAGGCCUUCGGGUUGUAAAGCACUUUUGGCGGGAAAGAAACGUCGCGGGUUAAUACCCCGCGAAACUGACGGUACCUGCAGAAUAAGCACCGGCUAACUACGUGCCAGCAGCCGCGGUAAUACGUAGGGUGCAAGCGUUAAUCGGAAUUACUGGGCGUAAAGCGUGCGCAGGCGGUUCGGAAAGAAAGAUGUGAAAUCCCAGAGCUUAACUUUGGAACUGCAUUUUUAACUACCGGGCUAGAGUGUGUCAGAGGGAGGUGGAAUUCCGCGUGUAGCAGUGAAAUGCGUAGAUAUGCGGAGGAACACCGAUGGCGAAGGCAGCCUCCUGGGAUAACACUGACGCUCAUGCACGAAAGCGUGGGGAGCAAACAGGAUUAGAUACCCUGGUAGUCCACGCCCUAAACGAUGUCAACUAGCUGUUGGGGCCUUCGGGCCUUGGUAGCGCAGCUAACGCGUGAAGUUGACCGCCUGGGGAGUACGGUCGCAAGAUUAAAACUUAAAUGAAUUGACGGGGGUCAUAGCUGUUUCCU